rnacentral:rRNA from 1 species
AACGAACGCUGGCGGCAUGCCUAAUACAUGCAAGUCGAACGAGAUAGUGGCUUCGGCCAUGUGUAAAGUGGCAGACGGGUGAGUAAGACAUAGGUAACCUCCCUCCAAGAUGGGGAUAACCUUCCGAAAGGAGGGCUAAUACCGAGUAAGACUACAGUGGUAACUCACAGGGGUUAAAGAUGGCCUCUGCUUGCAAGCUAUCGCUUGGAGAUGGGCCUAUGCACCAUCAGCUAGUUGGUGAGGUAAUGGCUCACCAAGGCUAAGACGGUUAGCUGAUCUGAGAGGUUGAUCAGCCAAACUGGAACUGAGACACGGUCCAGACUCCUACGGGAGGCAGCAGUAGGGAAUAUUGCGCAAUGGAGGAAACGCUGACGCAGCGACGCCGCGUGGGUGAUGAAGGCCUUCGGGUCGUAAAGCCCUGUCGGAAGGGAAGAAAAACAUGAUGGCUAACAUCCAUCGUGCUUGACGGUACCUUUAGAGGAAGCACCGGCUAACUACGUGCCAGCCGCCGCCGUAA